GUCAAAGUUUACUCAAUGAUGAGUCCGUGGCGAACCGUUUGCGAACCGUUCGGCGAACAGUUCGGGACAUCACUAAUCAUGACUUUUCUGGCGAUUUUCCUGGCCUUCUAUACCUGAGGCAUCUGGGAACCCUCUUUCCCAGUUUUCCUCCUUCUCCCCAGGGUCUCAUGGGAAUUCUGGGUCUGGCUGGGGCUUAACCUCUUCCCUCCCGCGGUUCCAGUUGGCUCCCGCCGGCUCCAGGGCAUUAACCCCUUCUUCUGGCCUAUCCGUUCAACCCCUUCCUCCUACAACCCUCAGGAGGACGGCCGGACUCACUGCCCUCGCUCUCUCAGGCUGCCCCAUACUGUACACCCGAAUAUGUGCUGGAUGCUUUCCAACAUCCACUACCUUGGUGCAGGGCAGUCUGUGGGGCGACCACGAGGUAGCCCGAGCAUGAUGUAGCGGCCAUCUUUGAUCCCGCGUCUACCGAGACUCCAUGGACCACGUUCCCCUUCCUUUACCCUCGGUGACCAUCUUUAAUCUCGCGUCUCGCGAGAUUAUGGGCGGCUGUUUUGCUACUCUCGCCCACCACGAUUUCGGCGCUCGAGAGUAACAUAUACCUGGGCUGUCACCUAGCCUAGCUGCUCUCGUGGCUCACGAUGCUUUGACAUGGACGUUGGACCCCAGUGUCCCAAGUUAGAAUCCAGGCAAAGGUAAGUAUUCUAACGGCCUAUUAUUUUCAGAUUUGAGUCGUACUCAUGUAUAGUGGUUCGAGGUCUAAACAUCCUGCUGACAAACUGUCAGACUUGGUCUUGUAUAAUUUCCCAUUAGAUGGUGUAUACGUGGGUGCUCAACCGGGAAGACCUUCCCACAACGCCACUGGGUCUCUCGGCACACCUUAGGACUCUUAUUUAGUUCUAUACUCUUUUCUCAGCGUUAAAAAUGCAAAAUACGAAGCCUCCUGUCAUGUGG